UGCAGCCCUAAAACCGGCCUCGUUUCCAUGGAAAUGGGGCCGCGAACGGAGGACACAUCCGAGUAUCCUUCGCAGCCUUCAGUAUCCCAGCAUGCACCGCGCGGCGGCAGUCACAUGUUCGAAAACGCGGAGCAAAAAGCCGGUCCCGAGAGCGGAGAAAAACAUCCUCCAGUAUGAGGACACGACACACUGCAGGGGCCACAGAACUGUUGGCUGACAAGAUGCUUGUGAUUCAUAAAAUGGGUCAAAUGCAGAUGACAAAGUAAAGCCAACACUGAGCUGGAGGUGCUGACCCAGACUCCUGCCAACGAUUAGGUUUUCACUCUACAGGACAGAACUUUGAAUCAAUCAGACGCAACAACCAUUCUGCUCUUCCUCCUCCAGAAGACGAGAGACACAUCACACUGAGUGGUCCAAGUCCACUGUCCAUGUCUCCACUGUCCAUGUCCAGAGUCUCUGAGGAGCAGGUCCAGAGUCUCAUAUGAUCUGAACAAGUGUGUGAGACAGAAAUGAAAACAUCUGCUCGUAAGUGUUUCUGAAUGUUUUUCAGCCUGUACUGACAUUUGAUUUAUGGUGAAAUGUGCCAUUUAUUUGGUGUCUCUUUUGAUAGUAACUAAUUACAUGUACUAUAAGAAUGUACUAUUGUACUGCAGAUAAGCUGUGGUAUUCCACAUGACCAUAUCUGGCAAAGAUAAUUUGUUCAUUUUUGAUUGUCACUUGCUUCAGCAAAAAGGGAACACAAUGAGAUUUACUGACAUACAGCUGUUUGUACUAACUUGUUAAUGCAGAGUGUGUGUAAUGGGUUUAAUAUUUGACUUCAUAUUAUGAUAAAGUAUUUCCAGAAGUUCCUUGGAUUGUUUAAUAAAUCAUCUUUUCUCAGGA